UACGAAGGGGGCUAGCGUUGCUCGGAAUCACUGGGCGUAAAGGGUGCGUAGGCGGGUCUUUAAGUCAGGGGUGAAAUCCUGGAGCUCAACUCCAGAACUGCCCUUUGAUACUGAGGAUCUUGAGUCCGGGAGAGGUGAGUGGAACUGCGAGUGUAGAGGUGAAAUUCGUAGAUAUUCGCAAGAACACCAGUGGCGAAGGCGGCUCACUGGCCCGGUACUGACGCUGAGGCACGAAAGCGUGGGGAGCAAAAGGG
rnacentral:rRNA from 1 species